rnacentral:rRNA from 1 species
AUUGAACGCUGGCGGCAGGCCUAACACAUGCAAGUCGAGCGGAUGAAGGGAGCUUGCUCCUGGAUUCAGCGGCGGACGGGUGAGUAAUGCCUAGGAAUCUGCCUGGUAGUGGGGGAUAACGUCCGGAAACGGGCGCUAAUACCGCAUACGUCCUGAGGGAGAAAGUGGGGGAUCUUCGGACCUCACGCUAUCAGAUGAGCCUAGGUCGGAUUAGCUAGUUGGUUUGGUAAAGGCCUACCAAGGCGACGAUCCGUAACUGGUCUGAGAGGAUGAUCAGUCACACUGGAACUGAGACACGGUCCAGACUCCUACGGGAGGCAGCAGUGGGGAAUAUUGGACAAUGGGCGAAAGCCUGAUCCAGCCAUGCCGCGUGUGUGAAGAAGGUCUUCGGAUUGUAAAGCACUUUAAGUUGGGAGGAAGGGCAGUAAGUUAAUACCUUGCUGUUUUGACGUUACCAACAGAAUAAGCACCGGCUAACUUCGUG